UGUGGGAGAUGCUACCAGCAGCUGUGGAAGAAAGUUUGGCUGUGGUUUAUCAACUCUAAUCUAAGGAAAAGCUGAACUAAAGCUAUUGGAAGGUUCACAGCAAGGAAUUGGACUCCUUUGAGCUGAGUUUAGUGACUCUUAUGAGCUGACUUUGAGGUGCUUCAACCUGAGUUGGAGCCGUGCAAGGUGAGCAACCUAACUUUUUGCUAGUUGGUAUGUGUUGGUGGAGUAGUGAUGAAGUCUAUGGUGUAUGUUUACAACAGAAUUUUCAGCAGGGUAUUAGAUCCUUUUUGGCUGAGCUUGGGGAGCUUUCGAAGGCCGGUUUCGAUGUUCCAAUCUGAACCGAAGUGAAGAAUUAAGCCUUGAUACUAUACUAAGUAAGAUUCUAAGCCUAAACUAUGUAAAUAGGUGAGAUUUACGUGUAGAGAUUGAAGUUAAGCUUCUAGCUGAAUUUGGGGAUAUUUGCUAGGGUGCUUGGAGGCUUCAGAUCACCUUGAGCUGAGUUUUGAUGAUUCUUAAAAGCUGCUUUAAUGUACUUCAACCUGAUUUGAAGUAAAGUUCAAGUGUGGAUUCUAAACUAGGGCACUUGGAAGCUAGAGAACAUCUUCGCUUACGGGAUCGACAAAAGUCGAUGGCGAUUUGGUGGGUUUGACCUUACCGAAAUGGGUAAAUUCCCUCUAUG